rnacentral:rRNA from 1 species
UCCGCUGACGAGCGGCGGACGGGUGAGUAACGCGUAGGAAUCUACCCAGUAGCGGGGGAUAAGCCAGAGAAAUUUGGUCUAAUACCGCAUACGCCCUUCGGGGGAAAGCAGGGGAUCUUCGGACCUUGCACUAUUGGAUGAGCCUGCGUGAGAUUAGCUAGUUGGUGAGGUAAUGGCUCACCAAGGCGACGAUCUCUAGCUGGUCUGAGAGGAUGAUCAGCCACACUGGAACUGAGACACGGUCCAGACUCCUACGGGAGGCAGCAGUGGGGAAUAUUGCACAAUGGGCGCAAGCCUGAUGCAGCCAUGCCGCGUGUGUGAAGAAGGCCCUAGGGUUGUAAAGCACUUUCAGCAGUGAGGAAAGGUUAGUAGUUAAUACCUGCUAGCUGUGACGUUAACUGCAGAAGAAGCACCGGCUAACUCCGUGCCAGCAGCCGCGGUAAUACGGAGGGUGCGAGCGUUAAUCGGAAUUACUGGGCGUAAAGCGCGCGUAGGUGGAUUGGUCAGUCAGAUGUGAAAGCCCAGGGCUCAACCUUGGAACUGCACCUGAUACUGCCAAUCUAGAAUACGGUAGAGGGUAGUGGAAUUUCCUGUGUAGCGGUGAAAUGCGUAGAUAUAGGAAGGAACACCAGUGGCGAAGGCGACUACCUGGACCGAUAUUGACACUGAGGUGCGAAAGCGCGGGGAGCAAACAGGAUUAGAUACCCUGGUAGUCCACGCCGUAAACGAUGUCUACUAGCCGUUGGGGGACUUGAUCUUUUAGUGGCGCAGCUAACGCGAUAAGUAGACCGCCUGGGGAGUACGGCCGCAAGGUUAAAACUCAAAUGAAUUGACGGGGGCCCGCACAAGCGGUGGAGCAUGUGGUUUAAUUCGAAGCAACGCGAAGAACCUUACCAACUCUUGACAUCCAGAGAACUUAG